AAAACCCCUUGAGAAUUUUUAUAGGUUGAACCAAAACAGAAUAAUGAAAUGAACCCUCCUGGGUAGAAAGGCAGAAACAGACAUGAAAGAUGAUUUCUCUGAAUUAUUUGGCCUUUAUAGGAAGAACCAUGAUGAGCUUCUAGAAAAUGCAUUAUUGAUGUGAUGUAAUAGGGGCUGCUGAAAUAGCACCAGAUGCCACUAGAAGACCGCUGAGAACAGAACCUUGGCUUAUUCACCAUGAUGACUGGGUACAAAUGGCUGUUAAGCAUUGAGGCAAGGUGGAAUUGUUCUGCCUAAUCAGGGAGGAAAUUAUUUUAAUGAGAUGAGAAGAGGAGGGAAGAAGAGAGCCAGUGGAUGUUGUCAGAGGAGAAGAAGAAGAGGCUGGCGUCCAGAGACCAUACCACCAGAAGGGUCCCGGGCCUGUCCUGGAUCUCACCUGUUCCUGGAAAAUCUGCUUUACCUGCAUUUUCUGCAUGGUCCAAGCUGUUUGGCUUCAUGUGAGCAGGACUCAGUGACUUCCAUCCUGUGUAUCAUUUUGCCAGACCCAGCUUUCACAGGCAACAUGAAAGCCUUGAGGACCAUCAGCUCUGCCCUGUCAUUUCUUCCUCUGCUAUCCCAACUCCCACAAGACGUUUCUUACCAGAGAGGCUUAUUUAAAUUCUCCAUUUUGAAGGAAGCCAGUGAACUCAUGUACUCUCUGCCUUGCUUCUGGAACUUCAUACCAUCAGAAAGAACUGUGGAACCAUUGCUGGUCUAUGACGAACCAAAGACCUCCUCCUCCUGGACAAAACCACCUUGGAGUCUUUUCCUUGCCAUAAAAAGGAAGCUUCAGGACAAUAAGAAGUAGAAACUUAUUCAAAGGUCUCACUCUCCCAUCCCCUAUUAAAUGAAGGACCAGAGGAUAUUUAAAGAGCACCCGCAGUCUGGAUAAAGGAGAACUUCUUCAGAUGCAGAUCCUUCAGGCCCCAGACCUGCAUGGAGCCCCACUGAGUGGGUGAUGGUCCUUGCAGUAGCCACACUCUGUAAGUAACCAGUACGAAACUUUUCAGGGCAGGAUGGCCGCCUCCAACUUCCUGCUAUUUCCAUUCAGGCCAAAAGUUAUGAUCAUAGUCUUACCUUACCAGAUUUGGGACACUAUGGGAUAAAUGUUAUUCUAAUUUCAGUAAAAACAUAAAAACAUGAUUUCCAGACAAACAGGCUUUUAACUUAGGGUUUGGAAAAGCUACAUGUUCUCAUUCAUUGUUAUUGCUGUUGCCCUGCAGAGGGGAAUUUAGACCUUCUUGAACUUUUCCUACAAAUCUGCAAUUAAUAGCCACAACCUGUUAAUCCUCUUUCCCAUAACUGACAGGGUCAGGAGUCUCCUAACACCCA